rnacentral:rRNA from 1 species
GACGAACGCUGGCGGCGUGCCUAAUACAUGCAAGUCGAACGCUUCUUUCCUCCCGAGUGCUUGCACUCCAUUGGAAAGAGGAGUGGCGGACGGGUGAGUAACACGUGGGUAACCUACCCAUCAGAGGGGGAUAACACUUGGAAACAGGUGCUAAUACCGCAUAACAGUUUAUGCCGCAUGGCAUAAGAGUGAAAGGCGCUUUCGGGUGUCGCUGAUGGAUGGACCCGCGGUGCAUUAGCUAGUUGGUGAGGUAACGGCUCACCAAGGCCACGAUGCAUAGCCGACCUGAGAGGGUGAUCGGCCACACUGGGACUGAGACACGGCCCAGACUCCUACGGGAGGCAGCAGUAGGGAAUCUUCGGCAAUGGACGAAAGUCUGACCGAGCAACGCCGCGUGAGUGAAGAAGGUUUUCGGAUCGUAAAACUCUGUCGUUAGAGAAGAACAAGGACGUUAGUAACUGAACGUCCCCUGACGGUAUCUAACCAGAAAGCCACGGCUAACUACGUG